AACCUCGGGCCGAUCGCAC
rnacentral:piRNA from 2 species